CAUUACAGAUAACCUCCUAAUGAAGUUAUAGAGCCUUAGUAAUAUUGGGCAAGUUAUUUAUACUGUGAAAACCACUGAAAGAUAACUAUUCUCAACUAACACCAGAAGAUAGUGAUAGGAUUUAUUUUCAGAAUCUUAAAAAGAUAUACAAUUUCAGCAGGACGCACCUAUAGAGACACUAAGGAGGUCGCAGAUGGACUGGGAGCAUCUGACCAGUGUUAGAGAGAACAGAGCCAAAGGCAUUAUCCAGAGAAUUCUGCACGGCGGUUGCCUGAAGGCUGCUGCCUUCUUUGCUCACCCUGGAACUUCAGUCUGGUUCUGGCCCAGGCCCAAGAGCUCAGUUUCAGAUCACAGCGGGCUUAGGAGCACAGUGCACACUGGAACAUCUAA
rnacentral:lncRNA from 1 species